ACGAGGGUCAGCACAACGUAAAAAAAAAAACGGAGGAGCCUGCCGAAGAUGAGUCCAUUAUGGCUCGCCUUUAGGUGUCCUUCUCGGGAUAGCAUCUUUUAAAUAACGAGGGUAAGUACAACGUAGAAAAAAAA